rnacentral:lncRNA from 1 species
GGUCCACUUGGCAAACUGCCACAUCAUCAAGUGGGUCCCAUUGGCCAUCUAGUUUUUUCUAUUUGUUUUUGCUAUAUGUAUUAUGCCCAGUUUUGUUUUUUGAGAUAAUUCAGCCCAGCUGAAGCUGGGCCGCUGGCCCAAUUCAAAAUAAGCUAGUAAAACGCAAAAACUGCUGCUGUCUUGAGGGCUCGAACCUUGGGCACCAGCACCCUAACUUAAGUCCUCACCGCUGAGCU